GUCUUGGAUCAGACCAUUUAACCCUGUAGCAGCCUAGUCUCCAAAGGGGAGAAAAGAGUAACAGUGGGCUAGGCUUCAUUCUCCUGAAGAAUGGCAUGGCAUUGCCCCAUCCUGAGUGGGCAGCUCCAGAGCAGGGCCAGGGUGCACAUCUUCUAGAAGCCAGCUGUCAUUUUUCCCUAGGAUUCAUUGACACCAGCUUGUCUCCAGCCUGAAGGCUCCCUGCCCCUGGGCUCAGGCGGAAAUGGCUCCUCCUCCCCUGGCUGCUGUCUGUCUUCAGUUCAGCCUGCCUCUCCCUCCUGAUCACUCCGGCUGAAGCAAGAAGCCAUGAAGAUGGCUCUGUAGUGGCAAGUUGCAUCAGGUUGCCUCUGGGAGAAAGAGAGAAAGACCUGGCUUAUGCAACUCUCUCUUCCCAUACACUGAAUCUCUGAAGUUCCUGGCCAACCCCCUCAUCUUCCCACCAGAGCUUGCCAAGGCUUAGCUCGGCAGGAACAAGGCCCAAAGAGCUACACAGAGCAUCUCCCAGACAGUGGCCACUGAGAACCAUCUCCUUUCAAGAUCCCAUUGGCUUGAUGAGUUGUCUGGG
rnacentral:lncRNA from 1 species